ensembl:lncRNA
GGAAAUAAUCACUUAGACCCAACCAGGAGCUCUGGCAACACGUCUAGGCUUGAAUCAUCGCAUUGGAAAAUCCCAGAUGUGGUUUUCUUAGCGGCAGUCAUUCACCUCAAGUGGCCGCAGCUGUGGGUUGGCGCGGGCCGGCCUGUUAAAGGGACAGGUGCCUGUUCUCCCCGCCCCUGGGGAGGAGGCCUGCAGCGAGCUAGUGCCGAGCAUCACCCGGCCUCUCUCCUCCCAGCCCCUCCCCGCAGGCCCGGGCGGCCCCCAGAGGAACCUGACUGCAUCACUCGAGGCCAGUGGAGGCUGGUGUGUGGCCAGCAUGCACAGGCAGCCGGGCUCACCUGCACCGGCCUCCUCACCUGCCUUGAUUCACGCCCUUGUCUUUCCUUUUGGUCUGUCGCAGGCCCUGAGGAAGUAUUUCUGGUGCUCUGGGAGGGAGGGCAGAUGCUAGGGUGGCCUGGGUUGGCCCUGCCCCUCCAGGAGGCUCCAGUGGAGAGGGAGCAGAAAGGAGGUGGAAGCGACCGAGUUUCAGCCGGAGUUUCUGUGAUGGAAGGCCGGUCCUCGGCUGGGCUCGAGGAGCAAGGCAGGACUCUGAGCCAGGACCACCACUCGCCUCCGUUCUGAGACAGGCGCGAUCUCUCCUCUUUCCAUUACUUUGGGAUGUGUAUUUAGAAACCACAAUGCCGAUCCUUUAGAGAACUCAGAGGGGCCAGGAGACCCCGGGAUUCCUCAAGGAGCUCGGCUGCCUGAUGCCGCCACAUCAUCCGUCCAAAGGGUGAGACUGGAGUAACGAGAAACAUCCUUUUCAACGAGUGAACAGCAGCUGGGCCGGGCAGGGCAGGCUGAGCGGCUCACAAUGACCACCUGACAGAUUAACUUCGUCACAGCUCUUCUGGCUCCGCUCCCUCCUCCUGCCUCUCUGCUCUAUAGAGAGUUCCUGCCCCCAGGGCCCCCUCAUCCUACAGGCAGCCCCUUAUCUGUGAUUUGCAGGUUUCUCCAUCCUUCCUAAGACACUACGUUCUGUUUUCUACCAGCAGCCCAUGGGGCCACGAGCUGUGCUGAGCAGCCCGGCCCACGGGCUCGCUCCUGGAGAGCUGAGGCUGCACCAGGCGAUGCUGCUGUCCUGGCCCUCCGGGCCACUGGAGAGCCUGUGACAGACACUGACUGCAGGGCUCCGUCCUUGCCUGGGGGCCCAGGGUCUUGGGGGGCGGUGAGGGGACCUGUGAAGUGUCACUUUGAGAAUGCCGUCCAGGCGAUUCUGAGGGGCAGGAGGGCUGGGGAGCCAGCAGCAGCCACUGUUGGUGGGAAACAUCACUCAUUCACAGACGACUUCGGAGGUGCAGGCACCUUGUCGGCUCAGGAAUUCCGAAACGGCUGUUGUGCUGUCAGUAGGGGGAAGGGCAGACAGAGGAGAGGGUAGUGGUGGUGUCUGCCCAUCUGCCUAUCUGUCCGUCUGUCUGGGCACUCAUCCACCCACCUGUCCAUCCAUCCAUCCACCCAUCCAUCCAUCUAUCCAUCAAACACCCUCAGAAGUUGACCUUGGCCACCAGAACAUCUUGCAUCUGGUGCAAUGUUUGCAUUCACCCCUAGGCAGCAAAUGGAAUAAAUGCAGUUUGUGGGAUUAAAGAAAGAAAUCUGCCUGCAUAGACCUGAAAGGACUGGAAGCCAGGUCUCCAAGAGAUGAGCGCACACCCAUGUUCAUAGAGGCGUUGUACACAGUAGCCAAAGGUGGAAACAGCCCAAGCGUAUCUGGGAUACAGAUGAAUGGUUAAACACGAU